UUAAGUUCAGCGGGUUUUCUUGCCCGAUUUCAGACCAAGUUCUUAAAUUGUUGCCCGACAGCAAGGCUGUACAAAAAGGGCGAUUCGGAAAGGCCUUGUAAAACGAGGUACCUAAAGACCCGUGCACAAAGAGAGUAACAAAAUCAAUGAAGAUCACUGUUGCUGCUUUGCAAGGUCCGUUCAAACGGUGACCCCAGCAU
rnacentral:misc_RNA from 1 species